rnacentral:rRNA from 1 species
GAUGAACGCUGGCGGCGUGCUUAACACAUGCAAGUCGAACGGAAAGGCUCCUGCUUGCAGGGGUACUCGAGUGGCGAACGGGUGAGUAACACGUGGGUGAUCUGCCCUGCACUUCGGGAUAAGCCUGGGAAACUGGGUCUAAUACCGGAUAGGACCACAUUUUGGAUGGUGUGGUGGAAAGUUUUUCGGUGUGGGAUGAGCUCGCGGCCUAUCAGCUUGUUGGUGGGGUAAUGGCCUACCAAGGCGUCGACGGGUAGCCGGCCUGAGAGGGUGUACGGCCACAUUGGGACUGAGAGACGGCCCAGACUCCUACGGGAGGCAGCAGGGGGGAAUAUUGCACAAUGGGCGCAAGCCUGAUGCAGCGACGCCGCGUGGGGGAUGACGGCCUUCGGGUUGUAAACUCCUUUCGCUAGGGACGAAGCGUUUUUGUGACGGUACCUGGAGAAGAAGCACCGGCUAACUACGUG